GAGUAUUAGUGCAUAGCGGGAGUCAGGCAUAGUGAGUAAUGACAGUAUUAGUGGCUAGUGGGAGUCAGGCACAGUGAGUAAUGACAGUAUUAGUGGCUAGUGGGAGUCAGGCACAGUGAGUAAUGACAGUAUUAGUGGCUAGUGGGAGUCAGGGCACAGUGAGUAAUGACAGUAUUAGUGGCUAGUGGGAGUCAGGGCACAGUGAGUAAUGACAGUAUUAGUGGCUAGUGGGAGUCAGGGCACAGUGAGUAAUGACAGUAUUAGUGGCUAGUGGGAGUCAGGCACAGUGAGUAAUGACAGUAUUAGUGGCUAGUGGGAGUCAGGGCACAGUGAGUAAUGACAGUAUUAGUGGCUAGUGGGAGUCAG